GCCUGGGCGAGAGAGCGAGACUCCGUCUCAGGGAGGCUGAGGUGGGAGGAUCACUUGAGCCCAGGAGUUCUGGGCUGUAGUGCGCUAUGCUGAUCGGGUGUCCGCACUAAGUUCGGCAUCAAUAUGGUGACCUCCUGGGAGCAGGGGACCACCAGGUUGCCUAAGGAGGGGUGAACCGGCCCGGGUCGGAAACGGAGCAGGUCAAAACUCCCGUGCUGAUCAGUAGUGGGAUCGCUCCUGUGAAUAGCCACUGCACUCCAGCCUGGGCAACAUAGCAAGACCCCGUCUCU
rnacentral:SRP_RNA from 1 species